UACGUAGGGGGCAAGCGUUGUCCGGACUUAUUGGGCGUAAAGAGCGUGUAGGCGGCCAGAUAGGUCCGUUGUGAAAACUCGAGGCUCAACCUCGAGACGCCGAUGGAAACCAUUUGGCUAGAGUCCGGAAGAGGAGAGUGGAAUUCCCGGUGUAGCGGUGAAAUGCGCAGAUAUCGGGAAGAACACCAAUGGCGAAAGCAGCUCUCUGGGACGGUACUGACGCUGAGACGCGAAAGCGUGGGGAGCGAACAGG
rnacentral:rRNA from 1 species